UAAACAUUGACAGUUAAUUACACCCACUGUCCGCCUGGGAACUACGAGCGCCAGCUUAAAACCCAAAGGACUUGGCGGUGCUUUAGACCCACCUAGAGGAGCCUGUUCUAGAACCGAUAAUCCCCGUUAAACCUCACCCUUCCUUGUCAUUUCCGCCUAUAUACCACCGUCGUCAGCUUACCCUGUGAAGGCCCAAUAGUAAGCGCAAUCGGCAAUGCCCAAAACGUCAGGUCGAGGUGUAGCGAAUGGAAGGGGAAGAAAUGGGCUACAUUUACUAACACAGUAAAUACGGAUGAUUACCCUGCAACGAGUAUCUGAAGGAGGAUUUAGCAGUAAGCAAAAAGCAGAGUGUUUUGCUGAAAUUGGC
rnacentral:rRNA from 1 species